rfam:Camelus ferus unplaced genomic scaffold scaffold64113, whole genome shotgun sequence.
GAGGGUACAGCUCAGUGGUAGAGCGCGUGCUUAGCAUGGACGAGGUCUUAGGUUCAAUCCUCAGUACCUCCG